rnacentral:rRNA from 1 species
GCGUGGAUGAUGAAGGCCUUAGGGUUGUAAAAUCCUUUCGUCGGGGACGAUAAUGACGGUACCCGAAGAAGAAGCUCCGGCUAACUUCGUGCCAGCAGCCGCGGUAAUACGAAGGGGGCUAGCGUUGUUCGGAUUUACUGGGCGUAAAGCGCAUGUAGGCGGGUCGUUAAGUUGGGGGUGAAAUCCCGAGGCUCAACCUCGGAACUGCCUUCAAAACUGGCGACCUGGAGCGUGAUAGAGGCGAGUGGAAUUCCGAGUGUAGAGGUGAAAUUCGU